CAAAAAACCACAACAGUCUGUUUCAUCCGUAUAGGAAUCAUCAGGUGGUCUGACCACCUGAUGAUUCCUAUACGGAUGAAACAGACUGUUGUAU
rnacentral:miRNA from 1 species